UCAAAAAAGAUUCAAAAUAUUUCUCUCUUCCACCAAACCUUUGUCUAUGGCUGAAUCUCCAUGGCUAUAGCUAACAGCCACCAAAUCCCUCACCACCACCGGUGAUGCUUGCCACUAUGGCAUUCUCCUCGUCUCACUAUUCUGGGUUUCUUUGUUUUCUCCUUCUCUCAAGCCUAGCCAUGGCCGAGCUUCUGCUUCCACUCACACCUAUCGCCAUUGGCGGUGCCUCUCAUCGACGUCACAACCACUAGUGGCCGCGGAUAAGCAAGGCACUUGCUGGAGCUAACAGAAAAGAUUUGUUGAGGAAGUUGCCAAAAUUUAUAUGUGAUGAGGAGAAAGCUUUGGAGAGAACCCGCAAAAUAUUAAUGGAGAAGAUUGCUCAGUUGAAUUCAGUCAUAGACGAUGUUUCUGCUCAACUUCAUGGAGAUGAUGUUUCUAAUGGAGCUGCAGUGAAUUCAGAUGAAGUUGGAGCUUCAAUGUAACAGAAUAUUUGUUGUAAUUGCCAUAUAAGCCAUCACUACUUAUGUGUGAUUAGUACUAGAAAAACAAUGUUUUGAAUCCUUUAUCCCUUUUAAUUUUCUAUUCGGUUAAUAAAUUCAGGUUGAUUGUACUUA